GACGAACGCUGGCGGCGUGCUUAACACAUGCAAGUCGAACGGAAAGGCCCCUUUGGGGGUACUCGAGUGGCGAACGGGUGAGUAACACGUGAGUAACCUGCCCUUGACUUCGGGAUAACUUCAGGAAACUGGGGCUAAUACCGGAUAGGAAUCCUUGCUGCAUGGGGGGGGUUGGAAAGCUUCGGCGGUUUUGGAUGGACUCGCGGCUUAUCAGCUUGUUGGUGGGGUAGUGGCUUACCAAGGCUUUGACGGGUAGCCGGCCUGAGAGGGCGACCGGCCACAUUGGGACUGAGAGGCGGCCCAGACUCCUACGGGAGGCAGCAGUGGGGAAUAUUGCACAAUGGGCGGAAGCCUGAUGCAGCAACGCCGCGUGCGGGAUGACGGCCUUCGGGUUGUAAACCGCUUUCAGCAGGGGCGAAGCUUGUGGUGACGGUACCUGCAGAAGAAGCACCGGCUAACUACGUG
rnacentral:rRNA from 1 species